rnacentral:rRNA from 1 species
UGGGGAAUCUUGCGCAAUGGGCGAAAGCCUGACGCAGCGACGCCGCGUGAGCGAUGAAGGCCUUCGGGUUGUAAAGCUCUGUCAGAGGGGACGAUAAUGACGGUACCCUCAGAGGAAGCCCCGGCUAACUACGUGCCAGCAGCCGCGGUAAGACGUAGGGGGCGAGCGUUGUCCGGAAUUACUGGGCGUAAAGGGCGUGUAGGCGGCUUUGCAAGUCAGUGGUGAAACACCUGGGCUCAACCCAGGUAUUGCCGUUGAAACUGCAUCGCUUGAGGGUAGAAGAGGAGUGUGGAAUUCCCGGUGUAGCGGUGAAAUGCGUAGAGAUCGGGAGGAACACCAGUGGCGAAGGCGGCACUCUGGUCUACCCCUGACGCUGAGGCGCGAAAGCUAGGGGAGCAAACAGG